UUAUUUUGUUUGCAGGUAAUGCAUCUAUCUUCAACUAGAUGAUAUUAUUAGUGGUCAAGAAUCUUUAUUUCAAAUACUACAAAUCAACUAUACUAGACUAGUUGAGGCCUCUAAAAAGCUUGAGCCGACCCUGCAAAGAAUACACACGUUGAAGGUAAUCUAAACUACUGCCGACUUUUCUUCUUUUUUUCUUUUUUU